rnacentral:rRNA from 1 species
GGAACAACUAGAGGAAACUCCAGCUAAGUGCCCGGAUGAGACCACGGAUCCCUUCGGGGGUUGCGGCCAAAGAUGGCCUCUACUUGUAAGCUAUCGCUGAGGGAUGGGCCUGCGGGCCAUUAGCUUGUUGGUGAGGUAACGGCUCACCAAGGCUGUGAUGGCUAGCUGGUCUGAGAGGAUGACCAGCCACACUGGGACUGAGACACGGCCCAGACUCCUACGGGAGGCAGCAGUGGGGAAUAUUGCGCAAUGGGCGAAAGCCUGACGCAGCGACGCCGCGUGGGUGAUGAAGGCCUUCGGGUCGUAAAGCCCUGUCGCAGGGGGAAGAAUAAGCAUCGGUAUAAUACGCCGGUGCCCUGACGGUACCCUGCAAGAAAGCACCGGCUAACUCCGUG